UGCUGAAACACCGGUUCUCGUACGAUCACCAAAGUUAAGCAACGUCGAGCUUGGUCAGUACCUAAAUGGCUGACCGCUUGGGAAUAUCAGAUGCUGUAAGC